CGUGCCUAAUACAUGCAAGUCGAGCGGAAUGAUGAAGAAGCUUGCUUCUUCUGAUUUUAGCGGCGGACGGGUGAGUAACACGUGGGCAACCUACCUUGUAGAUUGGGAUAACUCCGGGAAACCGGGGCUAAUACCGAAUAAUCCAUUUUGCUUCAUGGCGAGAUGUUGAAAGACGGUUUCGGCUGUCACUAUAAGAUGGGCCCGCGGCGCAUUAGCUAGUUGGUGAGGUAAUGGCUCACCAAGGCGACGAUGCGUAGCCGACCUGAGAGGGUGAUCGGCCACACUGGGACUGAGACACGGCCCAGACUCCUACGGGAGGCAGCAGUAGGGAAUCUUCCACAAUGGACGAAAGUCUGAUGGAGCAACGCCGCGUGAGUGAAGAAGGUUUUCGGAUCGUAAAACUCUGUUGUAAGGGAAGAACACGUACGAGAGUAACUGCUCGUACCUUGACGGUACCUUAUUAGAAAGCCACGGCUAACUACGUG
rnacentral:rRNA from 1 species